rnacentral:lncRNA from 1 species
UAGUCAAUCUUCCCCUAAAGAACAAGUAUUAAAGCAUCAUCAAAUAAUGCAGAGAGGAAGAGAAAGCAAACGAAAAGCUCGGAAGUGAAAGCAAAGUCCGCCCAUCAACAUUAAUUUUUUCAUAAAAAUGAUGAAGUCGAUAUCCAUUAUGACAAACUCGGGGGAUUUGGCCUCUCCAAAAAGUAAAAGUAAAAGUUAAAAAAAAAAAAAAACUCUGGAGAGUUGGUUGUUUAUUUUAGUUUAAAUAAUGGACCCAAAUGUUUUUUUUUUUUUUUUGUAAUUGAACUUAACAAGUUCUAGACUUCUAGUUUAAAUGAUGGACCAAAAUGUUAUUUUCAUACACAGGUAUUAAACUCUGGACAAAAUGGAUCUAAACUAAAGUAGCGUUUACAUUUUGGAUUCGAAUGAGAAUCUUGAGGAGUGAGAAUUUUAGGAUUGGGAGUGUGGAGUGGAAGUAGGUUGUUUAUUUACAUUAGAAUGGGAGAAUGGAAUUGAAAUCAGAAUUCAAUUUAUGUGUUUACAUUGUCUUGGAUUGGAAGUAAAUAGUUUUAAAUUAUAAUUUUACUCUUAUUUAAAGAAUUAUAAUUUGUAAUUAAAAAAUUAAUAAAAAAUAUAUUUAAAAAAUAAAAUAAAUAUUUUAUUAUAUUUGUAAAUUAAUAAUAAUUAAUAAUAUUCUUAAUUAUGUAAAUCAUAAUUUUUAAUUAAUUUUAAUUUAAAUUAUGUGAAUAAAAAUUAUUAAUAAUAGCAACACAAAUGAAACAUUAUUAUUGAUAAUAUAGUACAAAAUUAAUAUUUUCUUAUAUUUUAUUAAAUAUUAUUUAUUUAUUUUAAUUAUGAGGGUAAAAAGGGAAGAGGGGGAGUGGAUUUCCACUCCCACCUCCCCCCAUGGGAGUGGGAAUCCCACUCCCCCUUUAAAAAUGGUAAGUAAACACUGGAGUGAGAGGAAUUCACACUCCCACUCAAGUGAGAGGAAUUCACACUCCCACUCCGGUAAACACAACAUAAAUGUACUGAUAUUCUGGCAUUCGACUGAGAGAGCCCGAACGAUAUGACAUCAUCAUUUCAGUUGAUGUUUUUUGAAAAUGCAAGAGAUGAUGAUUGAUCAUUGCCAAUUUUGCUUUCACUUCCCCGGAAGAGAAGGGGGGGUGGUGGAAAAAGAACAACUACUGAUGGAUAAUCUCCUCCACCCCGCGGUUCUUUCUCAGUGUUGCACAUUUCAUUACUCGUAUAAAGCUUUUGGAGUCCGGAAUAUAUUGCUUUCAGCUGUUGGAGUUUGUCUUUUCUUUUGAGUAUGAUGAAACGGUUACAUUCUUAGUCGUCUCGUCUAGUCCAUAAUUAUAUCUCGACAAUGAAAGUGGGAUUGCUUAAAUUUGUAAUUAUCAAAGUAGGUUAGUAAAUUCAUAGUCGACGUUUUAAUGCUAUUAUAGUGUGUUCUUAGAUUAUAUGUGGAAUCUCUUUUGAUAGA